UCUCGCUUUCCCAUCAGAGAGGUUGAAUGUCUGCAGGACAUGCUCAUCAUUUGUCUAUCCGUGUUCUUCUUUUAAACAUCAUCUAGAACUUUCACAUAGAUGCAGACAUCACCUGCCAGAGUCACACUUAAGGUUUUAUGACAAAAACCGCAGGUUAGAAAUCAGCGGGACAGAUGAUUUCAGACUUGUGAAGAAGGGCACAAACUCUGUAGGUUAUAGAAGCAUUUAUGCUUGGUUUUCCAUAGUUUCUACGCUUUUGUUUUUUGUGUCCAUCCAAGAACACAUAAACAUUGGGAACACAUCCAAGAAGCUUUUUUUGGUUCUUUUGGAGGUUCUUCUCCCUCUCACACUCAUAUCCCUCCAUUUGUUGGCAUCGCCUCUGAGUUAUCGCAGCCAUGUGGGAGUUCCGGUCCAUGUCUUUUUGGCGGGCUGUGUUUGCCGAGUUCUAUGGCACCAUGUUCUUUGUGUUUUUCGGGCUGGGAUCAGCUCUGCGUUGGACCACCGGACCACACAACGUGCUCCAAGUUGCCUUCUGCUUCGGUCUGGCAGCUGCCACACUCAUCCAGUCUAUUGGUCACAUCAGCGGUGGCCACAUCAACCCGGCUGUCACGUUCGCCUACCUGAUUGGCUCCCAGAUGUCCCUGUUUCGUGCGUUCUUCUACAUCUGUGCUCAGUGCUUGGGAGCUCUAGCUGGAGCCGCUGUGCUGUAUGGGGUCACGCCAAGCAAUAUGAGAGGCAAUCUCGGCCUGAACACGCUUCAGCCAGGCAUCAGUCUGGGAAUGGCCACCACUAUAGAGAUAUUCCUGACUCUGCAACUCGUGGUUGUGGUCUUCGCUGUGACGGAUGAGAGGCGAAAUGGACGACUGGGGUCCGCUGCCCUGUCCAUCGGCUUCUCAGUGCUUGUGGGGCACCUGCUGGGGAUGUAUUACACUGGAGCUGGAAUGAACCCUGCCAGGUCUUUUGCCCCUGCUGUACUUUUCAGGAACUUUAUUAACCAUUGGGUGUACUGGGUGGGCCCUAUGAUCGGCAGUGCUAUGGGCGCUCUGCUCUACGACUUCAUGCUCUUUCCCCGGAUGCGCGGUCUGUCAGAGAGACUGGCUGUCCUCAAGGGCAACAGACCUCCCGAGGCCGAAGCCCAGCAGGAGACCCGAGGGGAACCGAUUGAGCUCAAAACACAAGCCUUAUAAACACGGCCAGGAAACUUUGGAUCCCUGACGCGACACAUACAUACGUACGAUCAUUUCUGACACCUCAUCCUCACACACCUCUUACAUGCCAACCGAGUUUGCUGAAGGGAGAAUCACACACACUUCCAAAGGCAAUUGAGACUCUAUAACCCCUUCCCAAGGACUAUGAAUGAGGGUAAGAAGAGGACUUCCUGUUGUGGACUCUGUACCGCCAGGUAUAGGGAGCGAGAUCAGGUGGCUAACGCCACUCAGGGGCACCUCUGUCGUUUCUAGUCUACUAAGAGUGAAAUACACUAGAAGUGGACUUCUGCAUGCUUUCCAGUUUCACAGGGUUUAAAUCUCACACAUUCAUUUCAGUUUAUUUUUUCUAUGAUUUUUCAGAUGUGACACAUGUACUAUAUUAUUAGCAUUUUGCAACCGAUUUCUUUACAUUCUACUUACCGUCGACAUUAUUCAGUUGUGCGUGGUGUGUGUGUGUUUUCCGAGAGUUUCCAGUUUGGCUCUUCCAUUUCCACCAUUCGCCAUGUGUUUGUAUUCAUGCGAUGUUCUUUUUUCUAUCUCCCAGAAUGAAGGAAACAUUCCUUUGAACCUUGGUUUAGGUGAAUGUUAAUUCACGACUAAAAGCUUUAUAAAUCCUUUGGGAAUUUGGAUCCCUCUUUGAGUCUGCUUCAAACUGUUGUAUUGUUUAACUGUGGCCUAAUGGCCCAGCAUGUGUUUCUUUAAAAGAAGCACAGUCACACCAUCAUUCAUAUAAAAUAAUAAACACACAAAACACAACUAUUGUGAUACCCUACCUUUUAGCUUUUACCUGAUAAAAGCACUUCAUUUUCUUCCCGUCGUGUCAUUUUCAGAACUUGAUUUUAUACUUCCAAAAGUAUUGAGUACAUUUUCACUGAUUCAUACAGUUUCAGGCAUUUUCAUUGAACUUUUUCUGCCAUAAAUGCAUGCAUAGAUGUCUUGUUUAGAUUAGGGGGUUUGGCAUUAUUUUGUGUGUAAAUAGUUUAAUUAGACAAAAGCAAUGGUAUUUUGUCUCAGGCAAGAUAAUAUACAUCUAAUUCAUUGUAAAAGAAAUUUGAAACCACUAAUAUGAGUAGACCUGGUUCCAAACAUCCUGGACGCAUUAUGAUACAAUGGCUAUUCCUGUUUUACACGGUUGAAGAGGGAUUUGCGAAGGUAAUUCAGUCAACUCUUUCCCUUGGAUUAGAUGAUUGCUGAGCAACUGGAUUUAAAUGCACAUUCAUGUUCUUGUAGCAAUUGGAUCUGAUGGAAUGAAAAGGCGAUGGCUACACCCACCCUUUGUCUCUCUGCACUCUUUCCACUAGUGUCUUCUUAUCCAAGAUCUGACUGAAGGAAGACCAGAGUCACAUGAAAGAUCUUCAAACCUCACCAUUGGGCUCUGUAAGCAAACUCUUUUUGAAGCCAUUUAAUUAAAUGGACUCUACAUAUAAACGUCAA